UCUUGUAAGAUCAUUGCUUGUUGAUUGGGAUACUAGGAUGUUAUAUGCCUAACCCCUAAACACUUGAAAUAUUUUACACUGCUUUGUCUUGUAGCAUGUAUAUUAGGAUUACCUGUUGGAUUGGAUGUGGGUUGUUUGUCUUUAUUCUCCUUGAUCUACCUAUUGUCUCCCCUCUUAAGCCAUCUAGAAUUGAACUGAAGAGUGGAGUUGGUAGCGCCCCUCGUAUUUCUCCUUCCUUUUAGUUGUCUCUCGAUAUUGGUAGCCAUACGUACCAUUUUCUCCAAGUCGAUGUAGUGCUACAAUUCACAUAUAUCUACAAUCUCUUUGUUCAAGCCAUUUAAGAAUUUAGCCAUAGUAGCUUUGAGUCACUCUUCAACUCUAGCU
rnacentral:lncRNA from 1 species